rnacentral:rRNA from 1 species
CCUACGGGGGGCUGCAGUAAGGAAUAUUGGUCAAUGGACGCAAGUCUGAACCAGCCAUGCCGCGUGGAGGAUGAAGGUCCUCUGGAUUGUAAACUUCUUUUAUUUGGGAAGAAACUCCCGAUUUCCAUCGGGAUUGACGGUACCAGAUGAAUAAGCACCGGCUAACUCCGUGCCAGCAGCCGCGGUAAUACGGAGGGUACAAGCGUUAUCCGGAUUCACUGUGUUUAAAGGGUGAGGUGGUGGACUGGUAAAAGCUCCGGGCUGAACCCGGAAACUGCCAUUGAUACUAUUUGUCUUGAAUACUCGGGAGGUGAGCGGAAUAUGUCAUGUAGCGGUGAAAUGCUUAGAUAUGACAUAGAACACCCAUUGCGAAGGCAGCUCACUACGGAAAUAUUGACGCUGAGGCACGAAAGCGUGGGGAUCAAACAGGAUUAGAUACCCCUGUAGUC